rnacentral:rRNA from 1 species
AUACAGAGGGUGCGAGCGUUAAUCGGAAUUACUGGGCGUAAAGAGUACGUAGGUGGUUUAUUAAGUCAGAUGUGAAAGCCCCGGGCUCAACCUGGGAACUGCAUUUGAAACUGAUAAGCUAGAGUAUGGUAGAGGGGGGUAGAAUUUCUAGUGUAGCGGUGAAAUGCGUAGAUAUUAGAAGGAAUACCAGUGGCGAAGGCGGCCCCCUGGACCAAUACUGACACUGAGGUACGAAAGCGUGGGGAGCGAAUAGGAUUAGAUACCCUAGUAGUCC